rnacentral:tRNA from 1 species
UGGGUAGUCGCCAAGCGGUAAGGCACAGGACUUUGACUCCUGUACGCGAAGGUUCGAAUCCUUCUUACCCAG